AGAGUUUGAUCCUGGCUCAGGACGAACGCUGGCGGCGUGCUUAACACAUGCAAGUCGAACGGAAAGGCCCUGCUUUUGUGGGGUGCUCGAGUGGCGAACGGGUGAGUAACACGUGAGUAACCUGCCCUUGACUUUGGGAUAACUUCAGGAAACUGGGGCUAAUACCGGAUAGGAGCUCCUGCUGCAUGGUGGGGGUUGGAAAGUUUCGGCGGUUGGGGAUGGACUCGCGGCUUAUCAGCUUGUUGGUGGGGUAGUGGCUUACCAAGGCUUUGACGGGUAGCCGGCCUGAGAGGGUGACCGGCCACAUUGGGACUGAGAUACGGCCCAGACUCCUACGGGAGGCAGCAGUGGGGAAUAUUGCACAAUGGGCGGAAGCCUGAUGCAGCAACGCCGCGUGCGGGAUGACGGCCUUCGGGUUGUAAACCGCUUUCGCCUGUGACGAAGCGUGAGUGACGGUAAUGGGUAAAGAAGCACCGGCUAACUACGUGCCAGCAGCCGCGGUAAUACGUAGGGUGCGAGCGUUAUCCGGAAUUAUUGGGCGUAAAGAGCUCGUAGGCGGUUUGUCGCGUCUGUCGUGAAAGUCCGGGGCUUAACCCCGGAUCUGCGGUGGGUACGGGCAGACUAGAGUGCAGUAGGGGAGACUGGAAUUCCUGGUGUAGCGGUGGAAUGCGCAGAUAUCAGGAGGAACACCGAUGGCGAAGGCAGGUCUCUGGGCUGUAACUGACGCUGAGGAGCGAAAGCAUGGGGAGCGAACAGGAUUAGAUACCCUGGUAGUCCACGCCGUAAACGAUGAGUGCUAAGUGUUAGGGGGUUUCCGCCCCUUAGUGCUGCAGCUAACGCAUUAAGCACUCCGCCUGGGGAGUACGACCGCAAGGUUGAAACUCAAAGGAAUUGACGGGGGCCCGCACAAGCGGUGGAGCAUGUGGUUUAAUUCGAUGCAACGCGAAGAACCUUACCAAGGCUUGACAUGUUCUCGAUCGCCGUAGAGAUACGGUUUCCCCUUUGGGGCGGGUUCACAGGUGGUGCAUGGUUGUCGUCAGCUCGUGUCGUGAGAUGUUGGGUUAAGUCCCGCAACGAGCGCAACCCUCGUUCCAUGUUGCCAGCACGUAAUGGUGGGGACUCAUGGGAGACUGCCGGGGUCAACUCGGAGGAAGGUGAGGACGACGUCAAAUCAUCAUGCCCCUUAUGUCUUGGGCUUCACGCAUGCUACAAUGGCCGGUACAAUGGGUUGCGAUACUGUGAGGUGGAGCUAAUCCCAAAAAGCCGGUCUCAGUUCGGAUUGGGGUCUGCAACUCGACCCCAUGAAGUCGGAGUCGCUAGUAAUCGCAGAUCAGC
rnacentral:rRNA from 1 species